GAUGAACGCUGGCGGCGUGCCUAACACAUGCAAGUCGAACGGAGAUUACGGACGGAAGUUUUCGGAUGGAAGCCUGUAAUUCUUAGUGGCGGACGGGUGAGUAACGCGUGGGCAGCCUGCCCUAUACAGGGGGAUAGCAGCUGGAAACGGCUGGUAAGACCGCAUAAGUCGGUUCAAUCGCAUGAUUUGAUCGGGAAAUGAGCAAUCAGGUAUAGGAUGGGCCCGCGUCCGAUUAGCCAGUUGGCAGGGUAAAAGCCUACCAAAGCGACGAUCGGUAGCCGGACUGAGAGGUCGGACGGCCACAUUGGGACUGAGACACGGCCCAAACUCCUACGGGAGGCAGCAGUGGGGGAUAUUGCACAAUGGAGGAAACUCUGAUGCAGCGACGCCGCGUGAGUGAAGAAGUAUUUCGGUAUGUAAAGCUCUAUCAGCAGGGAAGAUGAUGACGGUACCUGACGAAGAAGCCCCGGCUAACUACGUG
rnacentral:rRNA from 1 species